CCUGACCAGUCGUCUCCACUAUAGCAGGUGGGCAGCUCAUCCUGUGUGGGUGAGCGCCCAUCACACAUGUGAAGGGAUGUCUUCCAGGUGGCACCACGCUGCACGUGCUUCCAUUCACUCAGGCUUUGUUAGUCAGAUCUUUUAUUGCCGAAUCCGACCACCCGGACAUGGGGAACGGCUGCUGUCCACGAGGCGAGUGGGGACGGGACUCCCCGACCGCCUGGAGUGAGGGAGUCGCUGCCGGGGGCGGAGGAGUGCCCUGCCGUCCCCCGGGAACGCGGAGGGGUCGAGAGAAGACCGCCGUCCUCGGGGGGAGGAGGGAAGCGACUCCCCGACCGCCUGGAGUGGUAGGGCCGCUGCCAGGGGUGGAGGAGUGUCCCCACGGGAUGACGGGAAUGCGGAGGGGCGUUCUGUCCGCUGGGGGUCGGAGGUCUGACUGCGGUCCGCCCGGGGAGGAGCGGCUGUUGUCCGCCUGAGAGGGUGGAGGAGUGAUCAAGGACCACGCAACGGCGCAUCAGAGAACCGAAAGGCUGCGACCAUGAUGGGGUAUAAUUCAUGCAGGGCUGAGGAAUCUGCUGAUUGUGGAAGGCUGGUGAGCUCUGGGGGCCAGGUGGAUGCGAACCAGUGACCUUGGUAGAAUCCCUCGAAACCGAUGGACAGGGCGGCAUCGGUGAAAAGUUGGAUGUCUUCAGGGAAUGAGAGGCAGUCCUUGUAAAAAGAAGGGAGGCUUGAAAGACGUCUGUAUUGAGAAUGAUAUCUAGGAAUUCGAUGGAUGAAGAGGGACCUGCUGUUUUCUCAUGGGAAAUUGGAAUUCCUAAAUCGGCAAAAAGUUUCUGGACUGUACAGAGAUGGGCAGCGGGAG